rnacentral:rRNA from 1 species
UACGUAGGGUGCAAGCGUUGUCCGGAAUUAUUGGGCGUAAAGAGCUCGUAGGCGGUUUGUUGCGUCGGCUGUGAAAUCCCGAGGCUCAACCUCGGGUCUGCAGUCGAUACGAGCAAACUAGAGUGUUGCAGGGGAGACUGGAAUUCCUGGUGUAGCGGUGAAAUGCGCAGAUAUCAGGAGGAACACCUGUGGUGUAGACGGCUUUCUGGACCAUAGCUGACGCUGAGACACGAAAGCGUGGGGAGCAAACAGG